CUACGGGUGGCUGCAGUUAGGAAUAAUCUGCAAUGCGCGCAAGCGUGACAGUUUGAACCAGAGUGCCUCUCAUUGAGAGGCUUUUAUGAAAUGUAAAAAGUUUCACGAAUAAGGACUGGGUAAGACUAGUGCCAGCCGCCGCGGUAAUACUAGCGGUCCAAGUCGCAGCCAUUUUUAUUGGGUCUAAAACAUCCGUAGCUUGCUUUGUAAGUCUCUUGUGAAAUCUGGCAUCUCAAAUGCCAGGCGGGCAAGAGGUACUACAAGGCUAGAGACCGGAAGACGUAAAGAGUACGUUCAAAGUAGCGGUAAAAUGUUUUAAUCUUGAACGGACUAACAAUAGCGAAGGCACUUUACGAGGACGGUUCUGACAGUAAGGGAUGAAGGCUAGGGGCGCAAAACGGAUUAGAUACCCGAGUAGUC
rnacentral:rRNA from 1 species